AGUCUCGAGGUGUCAUCACAUCAAAAUGCAAGUUUGAAGAAGAGCCCCAAAGGGCUCCGGGACUU
rnacentral:tRNA from 1 species